rnacentral:rRNA from 1 species
GAGUUUGAUCGUGGCUCAGAACGAACGCUGGCGGCAUGCCUAACACAUGCAAGUCGAACGGGAUCCGGACUUCGGUCCGGUGAGAGUGGCGGACGGGUGAGUAACGCGUGGGAACCUGCCCAAUGGUCUGGGAUAACCGCGGGAAACUGCGGCUAAUACCGGAUAAGCCCGAGAGGGGAAAGAUUUAUCGCCGAUGGAGGGGCCCGCGUCCGAUUAGGUAGUUGGUGAGGUAACGGCUCACCAAGCCGACGAUCGGUAGCUGGUCUGAGAGGAUGAUCAGCCACACUGGGACUGAGAUACGGCCCAGACUCCUACGGGAGGCAGCAGUGGGGAAUAUUGGACAAUGGGGGCAACCCUGAUCCAGCAAUGCCGCGUGAGUGAUGAAGGCCUUAGGGUUGUAAAGCUCUUUUGGCGGGGACGAUGAUGACGGUACCCGCAGAAUAAGCCCCGGCUAACUUCGUGCCAGCCGCCGCCUCCAAGGCACACA